rnacentral:rRNA from 1 species
GAUGAACGCUAGCGGCAGGCCUAACACAUGCAAGUCGAGGGGUAUAGUUCUUCGGAACUAGAGACCGGCGCACGGGUGCGUAACGCGUAUGCAAUCUACCUUUUACAGGGGAAUAGCCCAGAGAGAUUUGGAUUAAUGCCCCAUAGUGUUAUAGAAUCGCAUGGUUUUAUAACUAAAGUUCCAACGGUAAAAGAUGAGCAUGCGUCCCAUUAGUUAGUUGGUAAGGUAACGGCUUACCAAGACAAUGAUGGGUAGGGGUCCUGAGAGGGAGAUCCCCCACACUGGUACUGAGACACGGACCAGACUCCUACGGGAGGCAGCAGUGAGGAAUAUUGGACAAUGGGCGCAAGCCUGAUCCAGCCAUGCCGCGUGCAGGAAGACGGUCCUAUGGAUUGUAAACUGCUUUUGUACAGGAAAGAAACACUCCCUCGUGAGGGAGCUUGACGGUACUGUAAGAAUAAGGAUCGGCUAACUCCGUGCCAGCAGCCG